rnacentral:tRNA from 1 species
GGAACCGUAGCCAAGUGGCUAAGGCGUAGGUCUGCAACACCUUGAUCGCCGGUUCAAAUCCGGCCGGUUCCUCCA